AUGGUGACUCUGACAGUAGUAAACUGCUGCAUCUUCAGCCUGAACUCCACUGAUGGUCAAAGUGAAGAUCUUAUUGGAAUACAAGAAGAGAAAAUAGAGACAUUUACAACUUUACUAGAUGGAAAACAUUUCUUCAAUUAUGAAGUGGAAAGAUGCUUGCAGAGAGUGCAGGAGGUUUUUGUACGGCCUCUUAAUGACUUUGUAUCACUGUGGUACACGUUUGGUGGAGGAACCAAACUCAUCCAUCACUCUGGCCCCAAGGUCAGACCCUCAGUCUCUCUGCUGACUCCCUCCUCUGAGCAGCUCUCCAGGGGCUCGGCCACGCUGGUCUGCCUGCUGAGCGGCUACUCCCCUCAGGGAGCCGUUGUGAGCUGGGAGGUGGACGGUACCGAGGUGAGAGAGGGGGUCCUGACCAGCCCAGAGGAGGAGAAGAGCGGACGUUACAGCAGCAGCAGCACCUUAAGCCUGAGCCAGGAGACCUGGAUGAAAGGAGAGAUGUACUCGUGCAGGGUCCUCCAUCACGACCACACCACGGCCCAGACCAUCCAAAGGAGCCGCUGUGAGGGCUAGAGAGGCUGAUGAAGCCCAGGACAGGAGUUCUGGGAGGGAGAGCAGGAGGAAAACACCUGCUGCUCUCAUCAGUAUGAGUCUGGAUGGCUGGAAGAGAAGCUAAAGCUUUGUGUGACGCUGAACAACAUUGCUGUGAAUCAAUAACUUAGAUUAAUGUGUGGAGCUCAGUAGCUGGAUGGGAGUGGGAUUCAUUAGCUGUGGCUCUAAUAAAGCUUGCUCUGAUACAUUA